ACAAGCCUGUAUCUCCAUACGGUGGUUAUAGUGGUCAGCUCCGCAGCUGUGUGUACCAGCCCACAGAACUAGCUCUAAUCACCAAGAGCCUGGCAAAUAGGGACCAGUCCCAUGAGACGGGCCUCCCCAGGGCCACGGCCCCCCCUCUAAACCAGAGCAGCAGCUCCCUGCCUCACUCUCUAGUGCCCCUACCCACCACAGGACUGUCCCCGGCAGUCAGUGGAAAUGGUGUGUAUAAGAAGCCUCUGUGGUGAAUCUAUGCUACGCUACUACAACCUGGUUCCUGUUCUUCACUCUCCCCCUAUUCUACUCUGUGCCCUAGUUUUCCCUGCAGCCCCAAAACCCAGAGCCUUUGACCACUGUAGAGGCCAGGCUGUUCUGUACAUACAGUAGGGCUGGAGGGAGCCAGUGUCAGAGGAGAGGCCACAGUCUUGGUGCUGUGCACCCAGAACAAGUGUGUCUCUCAUCUCCCUGUGUCUCAUCCAGACUGUCCCAGUGGCAGUACUAGCCACCCUCCACCUACCCAUCUCCCAAGCCAGCACUCCCCACCCCCGGGCCACAACCCCAUGCACUGAUGGGAGAUCCAACCAACACAGCAACACACAGCAGUGUGGCCAGAGUGAAUGGACAACAAGGCAAAAGGAAUUUGUUGCACAGCCAUAAAAACCUUUCAGUCUAAGCCCUGUAAAAAAUCUAAAGGAAGUUUGUUCUGAAGUGUCUGUCCUAUAUAUAAGAAAUACUUCAAAAACAGUUUUUUACAUGACCACUUAUUUUUUGGAACUAAACUCCAUAUAUACUUCCAUUCAUUUGGUACUGGGGGACCUUCAGACGAGUCCUGUGAAAGCCUCUGGGCAUCCUAGAGCAAAUGUACAGUGGCUUGCGAAGUAUUCACGAUUUUUCCUAUUUUAUUGCCUUACAACCUGGAAUUAAAAUAGAUUUUUCGGGGGUUUGUUUCAUCUGAUUUACACAACAACAUUUGAAGAUGUAAAUUCAUUUAUAUUGUGAAACAAACAAGAAAUAAGACAAAAAAAACUGAACUUGAGCGUGCAUAACUAUUCACUGU